CACCUGCAGCGGCAGCUGGAGGAUGAUAUUGCGAGUGGACGGAGGAAGACAGGAAUAAAGUGAUGGUUGUUGCCCAGAUGCGUCAAUAGCGACUUUUGCUUGGGAACAGUAGUACAGACAGUCAGACAUCAAAAACUGUACUUCGCGUCUUGGUCGAGACUUACUUAGAAUGUUUCUCGAGGAAAUCGCGCCCGAUGUAAUUGUGGAAGUGUCAGGAAAACGAUUCAAGGCACAUAAAUGUAUUUUGUCAUCCAGAUGUCAAUACUUUGCUGGUAUAUUGAGUGGCGGCUGGGUGGAAAGCUUGGGGAAUGUGAUCGUGCUCGGGAAUAUGGACUCGGGACAAGAAAUGAGAGAGGCACCCGACUUUUAGAGUUCUGUGUCAGCAAGAAAUUCACCAUCAAAAACACAUGCUUUCAGCACCACCCAAGACGUCUGUACACCUGGAUAUCCCCCGGAGACCGCUAUCGCAACCAAAUUGACUACGUCAUAAUCAACAGUCGAUGGAAAUCAUCCAUUACAAACGUAAAAACAUUUUCGGGCGCUGACUGUGGCUCCGACCACUGCUUGCUAGUCGCGAAUUUUACCCUUCGUCUGAGAGCGAUAAAGAAGAGGGACCCGGUCAGACCAAAAACCAUUGAUCCAGCGGAAAUCAGGAAAUUCCAGGACUGUCUGAGCGCCGCGAUUGUGGAACAACCGCCCCACAUGCACUCCAGCACCAAUGAACAGUGGGAAAACUUCAAAGAUAGUAUCUGGAGGGCGUUAGAAAGAGCCACCACUAACCGCAGACCACCGACCAUUCGUCAAACAUGGCUCUCCACUGAUACCUGGAGAAUUAUUGAGAACGCGAAGCAGAAAACAUGAAUUGGAAUAGAAAAUAUAGUCCUGGAGAGAACUGGAGAAUUAAGACCAGUAUGCCUUCCGAGAUUGAGAAGGACCCCGCCCUCCACAAAUACUGGCAUAAGAGGCACUUUCUCUUCCACAGGUGGUUGUUUAUUUCUGUAUCAUUUGUCCUCCAGUGUAAGAAGUGUUUAAAAAAGGUAUUUAAAUGAAACCAACGUUAUGUUUGCUUGGCAACAGGUUCGACGAGGGCAUCAAGUUGGACCGCGAGAGCUGGUUCAGCGUCACACCAGAGGUAGUGGCGCGGCACAUAGCCGAGAAAUACCAGUAUGACGUAGUCUUGGACGCGUUCUGCGGUGCAGGCGGGAACACCAUACAGUUCGCCCGGACCUGCAACAGAGGUAAGUGACACCUUUCUUCGAUACCUACUGUCUCCAUUAGUUGAAUGCUCUUUAAGUGUUAUUUCUUGUGUUUGUGUUGUUAACUAAUGUCUGAUUAUGUUCAACAGUUGUCGCGAUUGACAUAGAGCCCAACAAAAUUGCGAUGACGAAACACAACGCUACGAUAUACGGCGUACACGAGAAGAUUGAAUUCAUUACCGGCGACUUCUUCGAGUUGGCACCUCGUCUCAAAGCGGACAUGGUCUUCCUCAGCCCGCCAUGGGGAGGUCCGUCGUAUUCCAAGGUAAGUUGACUUUAAAGUUUUAUUGUGGCAUCAUGUGUCCAUUGCCAUUAUUAUUGUUGCUACGAGUACUUAUUUACGAAACAUCACAGGAGAUGAUACUUAGAUAAAUGAUAUCGUUUGAAGUGUAUUUAUUGAAUUAAUUUUCAUUUCAUUAACAUGUGUGUUGUCCACAGGCGAAGGAGUACGAGGUUGAGUCGAUGCUGAGGCCGAGACCGGCGUCAGAGCUGAUGCAAGUGGCGCGUACGAUAUCACCCAAUGUGGAAUUAUUCCUCCCUAGGAAUACCAGGCACGACCAAAUUGUGUCUUUGGCGCGUAAGGGGGUGGAGAUCGAAAAAAAUUACAUAGGGAGAGGCCUCGUGGGCAUAACGGCAUACUAUUUCUGAAAUCUGGUUUUAGAAGUAGUAUGUCCUUAACAGUUCACGCCUGGACUUUGGGCCUCCUCCACACAAGAGGAGUUUUCCUUAAUGUCCUCGCUUGGCAGGCGGGUUAGAGAUCUAUCUCAAGAUCUGGUUCAUCAGAGAGCGCUGCCCUUAGUCGAGUCUCGCGACACCCGCGGGAAGAGUGACUAAUGUAUUGUUGUAAAUACUCAACGAAUGAAUUAUUCUAAAUCUGUGAUAUUUUUUUAUAUUAAUUUAUAAAUAAACGGAACGAUUUACUAAAUUAUUUUGGUUUUUCAAUUUCCAUAAAAACCUUUAUUGUUUUCGGAGUUAUGUAGUCUCGAUGGUGUACCGAUAGUCCUCACAACUGAUUACAAAUCACGCGUCGCUGCUGCCGGGGUAAAUAGCACGCGUCAAUUACGGUGAAGUUACCCUAAAGUUCGAAAGCAAUUUAUAAUUCCAUAGUGUCAUGUCAUAUGGUAUUCUCCUGUGGGUCCAUAAUUACAAUAUGAUAGUGACGCCUCUUCAUAAAGUUCGAGAGCCGGUGCCGCUCCGUUCUGAUCAACUUCUUCAUCUUGUUCUUUAUUUAUACAUGAAUUCGAGACUGAAUUGUGGAGCUCUUUAAAAAAAAUUUGAAGUUUGCUUCACUAGCUGAACACCGGUGGAUAAAAACGUAGCCGUAAAUAAAUUCUCAAAUAUGGAUCUGAAAAUGAAGUAAAAAUGGUUCCAGUAAAGGAAGAUACGACAAGUUUGCUUUGCGUUCGUCUUGGUGGAGGCAGUACCCCACCCCCAUAUUCACUCAAUGAUAUACAAUCAAUAAUUUUUUUUUUGAACUAAACUUCGAAUGGGAACAUGGAACAUCUAAGUAUAGAUAUAUAUUAUGUGGUAAAAGUUUUUAACAUAACUGAUAAUUAUUUAUUUGAAAUCACCUAUUGACUUUGAGCUAACGUGGUGUUUAACUUCCAUCCUUAUCAGCGUGAGAAGUUUUGUUGAUUGUUUUGUCCCACUGCUUUAUAAAGGGCAAAUUAAAAAACUCGUUUAACUACAUUCUUUGUUUUUUAAACCUUUGUGAAACAAAGUAAGAGCUACAGUAAUACACACAAUAAAUAAAGUCUUCUUGAUAAGAAGAAAUGGGCGUGUGAUUUUUUCACCCGAUAUUUCUUUAUUGUGUAGAGUUAAUUCUUUAUCUUAAUCAAUACCGUACUUUAACAAUGGACGUGUUGACUACUAUACCCAAUGGCACUAAUGCAUUUGUAGACAAACACCACAUGUUAUGUCGUCCAUAGAACUAACCGUUCUACGAAGCCUACGACUCACCAAAAAUCGCUACAACUUGCUACGAGCUGCUACGACUUGCUACGAACCACUACAACGACAAGUGAACCGAUUGAAUUUUUUUUUAAUCGACAAGUGAAUCGAGUGAAAACUACUUAAUUUAUUAAAAAAAACGAAUGAUUCCUCCCUCACCGAUCUCAGAUGCAUACUUUCUAGAUCACGUAUAAUAUUCGUGGAUAUUACUUUGUUAUUGAAAUUAAAAAAUAAAAUUUAAAAAUAUAAGACAAUUACAUUUUUUUUAUCUAAGAGAACAUACAAUAGAAGGCACAAUGCACUAUUUCUUGGAAAAGAUUUAAGCAUAUUGUUAUAAUUCUUGAAAAUGAUCGGAAUAAACGUGGUGUUUUACUCCCAUCCUUAUCAGCUACAGCGUGGUUUUAUUUAGGUUAGCAGUAGGGUGCACCGUAUAUAAAGCCAGCGGUGCACCAGUUGACGCAUUCUUGUGUAGAACUCCGAAGGGUGAAGACCAUAGACGAGCGAUACCAAAUAUAUUAAUAAAAAAAAAAACGCAAUGGAAUAUUCAGCUAAUUCCUCCUCCUUGCGAAGUGGCGCUGAGCCACAACAACAACGGUGCCGUCGCUGUGAUGGUGUAAGUAUAUUUAUUUAAUUGAAUUUAUUCUGUAUUUAAUUUGUUGGUUGUAUAAUAUUCACAAGACAGGCGGUGUGCUUCUGUAUUCAAUACUUGGAUAUUAUAAUGGUUACAUUUGUUUAUGUCAUUUUAUUUUAUAUAGAAAGACUUAAUUUGUUUUUAUUCUACAUUUUUAAAAACUCGGAGUAGUUGUAACAUAAUAUUUUUAUUAUUACUAAUGAUUUUGACCAUGUUCUCAUAAAUAUGUUAUUUUCUCUUUACAGAGAUGCG